AAGCUUUUGGCUUGGGUUAUAU
rnacentral:miRNA from 14 species